GACGAACGCUGGCGGCGUGCUUAACACAUGCAAAUCGAACGGUGAACGCGGAGCUUGCUCCGCUGGAUCAGUGGCGAACGGGUGAGUAACACGUGGGCAACCUGCCCCUCACUUCGGGAUAACUCCGGGAAACCGGCGCUAAUACCGGAUAUGACCUCCUUGGGCAUCCUUGGAGGUUGAAAGUUUGUCGGUGAUGGAUGGGCCCGCGGCCUAUCAGCUUGUUGGUGAGGUAGUGGCUCACCAAGGCGACGACGGGUAGCCGGCCUGAGAGGGCGACCGGCCACACUGGGACUGAGACACGGCCCAGACUCCUACGGGAGGCAGCAGUGGGGAAUAUUGCGCAAUGGGCGAAAGCCUGACGCAGCAACGCCGCGUGCGGGAUGACGGCCUUCGGGUUGUAAACCGCUUUCAGCAGGGAAGAAGCCGCAAGGUGACGGUACCUGCAGAAGAAGCACCGGCUAACUACGUGCCAGCCGCCGCAGUAA
rnacentral:rRNA from 1 species